CCCAGACACACCCCGACCCCGCGAAGGGAUCUGGGCUGUCAAAACACGCAGCGGCGUGCUGAGUCCCAGUAACUCGCAUGACGAUUAAUGAGCGGCUUGAUAAUUUAAUAUCGCGUGUGAUUAAAUUAUAAGGCGUGGGGGAGGGGAGCUCUGAGCUCCCUCGUCCGCCAGGGCCGACGCCACCAAGCCUGGCGGUCUCCGCUGAGUGCGAACCUCGCUCUCCCUUCGCUCAGUGCCUGGCAGGCUCGGCAAGCAGCGGGUCCGCGCCUUCCCAAGGCACAUGAAUGCCCAGCUGGACUACAUUUCCCAGCCUCCCUUGCAGUUGUGUAAACCUUCAUGACUAAGUUUUCACCAGUGGAAUGCAAGCAGAAGUGACGGGAGUAAUUGUCAUCUCAUACUUGCACCUUCCUGUUCCUUUUUGCUGUCUGAGAAUGAUGCUAAUGGAAGCCAUGGAUGGAGGAUAACAAAACUUGCCCAAUGGCCUGGGUUCACAAAAUGAUUCCCUAGAGCAGAGUCUUGUACUUUCACCCUGAACUGUUAUAUGGAGAGAAAUAAAUGCCUAUUUUGUUUGAAAAA